AACAAGGCGUACCUGCGGACCUGCGAGGGAUCAUUACAAGUGACCCCGGUCUAACCACCGGGAUGUUCAUAACCCUUUGUUGUCCGACUCUGUUGCCUCCGGGGCGACCCUGCCUUCGGGCGGGGGCUCCGGGUGGACACUUCAAACUCUUGCGUAACUUUGCAGUCUGAGUAAACUUAAUUAAUAAAUUAAAACUUUCAACAAUGGAUCU
rnacentral:misc_RNA from 1 species